UACGGAGGGGGCUAGCGUUGUUCGGAAUUACUGGGCGUAAAGGGCGCGUAGGCGGCCACUGCAAGUCAGUUGUGAAAUCUCCGGGCUUAACCUGGGAAUGGCGAUGGAGACUGCAAGGCUAGAGUUUGGCAGAGGGGGGUAGAAUUCCGACGUGUAGCAGUGAAAUGCGUAGAGAUGUGGAGGAACACCGGUGGCGAAGGCAGCUCGCUGGGACGGUACUGACGCUGAGGCGCGAAAGCGUGGGGAGCAAACAGG
rnacentral:rRNA from 1 species